GGCAAAUAGAAAGUUUCUUCCUUAUGAUUGGACAGAGGGCUGUCAGUAAGACUAAGGCAAAAGCCAAUGGAACAGGUGGGGCGUUACUUGCCCCACCCUAGCCCUGAGCAGGGGAUUUGAUCUCCUGGAGGGAAGGGGGCACACAGGAGUGGAACUGGACAUUGCUGUGACCCUGUGACCAUGGUCUCCUUUGCACCUUGAACUUUAAGGAGAGGGCACAAGGGCAUCUAACCCAAUCUCCAGCUUCCCAGCCUUUAAAGGUCGCCACCGACCGUACCCAGCAAACAGAGCCACGGUGCUGGGUGAAGCAAAGGGAUCACCAAGCACACCCCGGAGGUCUCAAUGACUCAGUAGGAGUUGGGGCAGGACUCAGAAAUCUAGGGCCAGGCCCCUGGGGAAUUCAAGUCGAGGUCCUUGAAUAUUUCAUCAGCACUUCAGCUCCAGUUGAAGCAGCGGCCAGCUUACAGCUCAUGGAUAAUUUAUGAUCCCAACAGAGAACCUGGAAGUAGUGAGGGGGAAGGGCCUGGAGUGAGGGGGGAGGGCAGGGCCAAGCUGGAGAUAAGAGUGAAGGAGAGAAGCCAGCUGGACAGAAGUGAGUAUGAGAGGUUGGGAGCAAGAGCUCCCAACACCGUGAAACUCUUCCGUGUUUGAGGAUACCAAUGUGUUAAAAAAAAAAAAUCAAUAAACAACACAGUGGUAAAAAAGACGACUGGAGGUUAGUCAUCGGACAAGCGUUUUCUGACUUCCAGGCCUGACCCUAGGUCUGCGAAGGAGUGUAUAAUCUUAUCCCGAGAUAACAAAACAAUGUAAUGGUUCUGUGUGACUGUGAGGCCCUCAAAUAACCCCACCUACUGUACACUUGGGCAAGCCAGGGAGACAAGCUAGACUUCCCACUUGGACUGGUUGAACCCAUCCCUUACCAGCCUCUUCCUCCAGAAAGACCCUAAGAAUGUAGCCAAGUGGUUAAGGGGCAAAGAAGGAAAGAAAUCAGGUCACCUCUGAAUUUAUCCAAGGAACAUGGCAGUAGUCCCUCCUCCUCUUCCUCCUCCUCCUUUUUUCCAG
ensembl:lncRNA